rnacentral:rRNA from 1 species
UACAGAGGGGGCAAGCGUUGUUCGGAAUUAUUGGGCGUAAAGAGCUCGUAGGCGGUUUGUCACGUCGGAUGUGAAAGCCCGGGGCUUAACUCCGGGUCUGCAUUCGAUACGGGCAGACUAGAGUGUGGUAGGGGAGAUCGGAAUUCCUGGUGUAGCGGUGAAAUGCGCAGAUAUCAGGAGGAACACCGGUGGCGAAGGCGGAUCUCUGGGCCAUUACUGACGCUGAGGAGCGAAAGCGUGGGGAGCGAACAGG